rnacentral:misc_RNA from 1 species
GAUGAAGAACGCAGCGAAAUGCGAUAAGUAAUGUGAAUUGCAGAAUUCAGUGAAUCAUCGAAUCUUUGAACGCACAUUGCGCCCGCCAGCAUUCUGGCGGGCAUGCCUGUUCGAGCGUCAUUUCAACCCUCGACUUCCCUUUGGGGAAAUCGGCGUUGGGGACUGGCAGCAUACCGCCGGCCCCGAAAUGGAGUGGCGGCCCGUCCGCGGCGACCUCUGCGUAGUAAUCCAACCUCGCACCGGAACCCCGACGUGGCCACGCCGUAAAACACCCCACUUUCUGAACGUUGACCUCGGAUCAGGUAGGAAUACCCGCUGAACUUAAGCAUAUCAAUAAGCGGAGGA